UGAGAGAAUAAUUUGAUGGAGUCUUAUUUACAUGUCAACUGAUAAUUCUCUAGUGGGAGUUGUGUAAGUGAUCCUUUGACCUGAGGUCACCAUGGUACCUUGUGUACAUGGAUCCAUAUUUUGGUUCACUAUCUAACUUGAUUCUCUGAUCCUUAUGUGAGGUGUUCUGGAUAUGGUGAAGUGUGCAUAGAGGUUGUGAAUCAAUAAGGGAUCAGUCACUCCUAAUAAGGAGAGCGAACAUCCUAUGUGAUCUCAUAGGACGGUGAUUCUGGA
rnacentral:lncRNA from 1 species